rnacentral:rRNA from 1 species
GAUUUCUGGCUUGGUGCGCGCCGUCCGCUUCCGUUAGGGAGUGUGUGCGGUUGUGCGCCUGCCAUCUUUUUAGACAUUAUGCUGUGCCCUUCACUGGGUGGCAGGUAGUGGCUGAAUCUUUUACUUUGAAAAAAUUAGAGUGUUCAAAGCAGGCUUGCGCUAUGAAUACAUUAGCAUGGAAUAAUAAUCUAGGACUUUCGGUUCUAUUUUGUUGGUGUUCUGGAGCUGAAGUAAUGAUUGAUAGGGAUAGUUGGGGGUGCUAGUAUUCAAUGGCCAGAGGUGAAAUUCUCGGAUUCCUUGAAGACUAACUUAUGCGAAAGCAUU